GCGCAGCCCCCGCUGCGCACCGAGGAGCAGCGGACCGGGGACCCACCGCAGCACUGGGGUGAAGCACGCACCGACCCACCCAGGGUCGACGUGCCGGGCGAACUUCCCGUCCGAAUCCGUCAGCUAACCCGGUAGGCGGCUCGUUGGAAGAAAG
rnacentral:sRNA from 2 species